rnacentral:rRNA from 1 species
ACAAGCAGUAGGAGCACCUUCGUGGUGUGACUGCGUACCUUUUGUAUAAUGGGUCAGCGACUUAUAUUCAGUGGCAAGGUUAACCAUCUAGGGGAGCCGUAGGGAAACCGAGUCUUAACUGGGCGCCAUAGUCUCUGGAUAUAGACCCGAAACCGAGUGAUCUAGCCAUGGGCAGGUUGAAGGUUGAGUAACAUCAACUGGAGGACCGAACCGACUAAUGUUGAAAAAUUAGCGGAUGACUUGUGGCUAGGGGUGAAAGGCCAAUCAAACUCGGAGAUAGCUGGUUCUCCCCGAAAGCUAUUUAGGUAGCGCCUCGGACGAAUACUACUGGGGGUAGAGCACUGUUAAGGCUAGGGGGUCAUCCCGACUUACCAACCCUUUGCAAACUCCGAAUACCAGUAAGUACUAUCCGGGAGACACACGGCGGGUGCUAACGUCCGUCGUGGAGAGGGAAACAACCCAGACCGCCAGCUAAGGUCCCAAAUUACAGCUAAGUGGGAAACGAUGUGGGAAGGCUUAGACAGCUAGGAUGUUGGCUUAGAAGCAGCCAUCAUUUAAAGAAAGCGUAAUAGCUCACUAGUCGAGUCGGCCUGCGCGGAAGAUGUAACGGGGCUAAGUUGUAAACCGAAGCUGCGGCAAUGUUCUUUGAACAUUGGGUAGGGGAGCGUUCUGUAAGCCGUUGAAGGUGUGUUGUAAAGCAUGCUGGAGGUAUCAGAAGUGCGAAUGCUGACAUGAGUAACGACAAGGGGGGUGAAAAACCUCCCCGCCGGAAGACCAAGGGUUCCUGUCCAACGUUAAUCGGGGCAGGGUAAGUCGACCCCUAAGGCGAGGCCGAAAGGCGUAGUCGAUGGGAAACGGGUUAAUAUUCCCGUACUUCUUACAAUUGCGAUGGGGGGACGGAGAAGGCUAGGUGGGCCUGGCGACGGUUGUCCAGGUUCAAGUGCGUAGGCU